UGUCAUGAUCAGUUGUAGUGUACAUGCAGA
rnacentral:piRNA from 1 species